rnacentral:rRNA from 1 species
CACGUAGGGCGCAAGCGUUGUCCGGAAUUAUUGGGCGUAAAGAGCUCGUAGGUGGUCUGUUACGUCUGCUGUGAAAACCCAGGGCUUAACCCUGGGCCUGCAGUGGAUACGGGCAGACUAGAGGUAGGUAGGGGAGAAUGGAAUUCCCGGUGUAGCGGUGAAAUGCGCAGAUAUCGGGAGGAACACCAGUGGCGAAGGCGGCGACCUGGACGGAUACUGACGCUGAGGUGCGAAAGCGUGGGGAGCAAACAGG